UCACAACGCUCAGUCCGCUCUCCGCCAUCUUUCGCAGCGAAGUAUUUUUUCCAACAUCAUUUUUCGAAAGGUUUAUUGAUAUUAAUGCUUUAUUGAAAAACAAAAACGAAUAGCCGGAAUCGCUCUCGGGAGUUCAUUUGUGCGGACAAUCGAACAGAAGCUAUACAAGUUGCAUCCAGAUUCCAGACCAUGUAUCUAUAAACCGGUACCAAGCUUGCAGCUCCCAACUAAAUUUAAUACCGGCCGGAGCAAUGCUGUAAAAAUGAGAAAAGGCCAGAUUACGCCCCGUUGUAAUCCGUAAAAAUGUCCUUAGUCAUCUGUAACCGCAAUGCAUUAGCCAGGAAACAGAAACCAAUUUGACACCGUAGCGUAGUACGAUUUGUUGUACACAAAUAUCGCAAGGACGGUACCGGUCGUAUGACUGGUGGCACACUCCUCACAUCUGCUGGCUCGAUGUAGGAUGCACCGAAUCGACGAGAGUUAGAUGUUUAGUUUACUUGUUUUUUUAAAGCUUGUCCGGAAUUUUCGCAAAAAAAAACGCCGACUUUACCGACAGCAAAACUUUUAGCCAGAAUGGGUUGUCGCGUACUUAGACCAUCAAGAAGCUCAUUAAUGAGAUAUAUACUAUACUCGGCUGACGAGGAAUCUCCACAGACAUGCGCUGCAUCGAAGAAGUGGUUAUUAUUCCUACCGCCCCUGCGCAACUGAAUUGCCGCGUUCGAGAAACAUCUGAAAAAGCGUCUGCGUCACCCCCAGGUGCGUGGUAUUUCCAUCAGGCUGCAGGAAGAGGAACAUGAACAAAGGGUUAACUACGUGCCAGAAGUAUGCGCUAUGAAGGACACCAUCGAAGUUGAUCCGAGACCACCUUUAACAACAUUGUCGUGCAGGUAACGAAUCGUUCCGCACAAGGUUAUAACCGACUGCAAAUAACAACAUGAUUAAGUCCGAGAGCACUGGAAAAAUUUAAACAUCUGUGGAAAGAGAGUAUUUGUAUUGUAUGUAAAUUGGCCGAUUUGUGGAAAGAAGUUUGUAGAAAUCUGAACGGCGACAUAUGCAUCAAAUGCUGGGAGCAGUUUGCAAAGUUUUCAACGAGGAAAAAUAAACGCGCUUUCACCAACUGAGGUUUGGAUAUGACACCAGCUGACCACAAUCAAUUUAGAUAUCCCCUCUGUACGCCGGGUAGGGCAAGUUGGAAGCAAAAUCGAUUGUACGGUGUCUCGCCAAGUGGAAAUACAGCGUUCGACGUCGCCCAAGACUCCUGAAGUCAGUGCCGCUGUUGUUUUCCACGCUGGCAAGUUAUCUGGAAGUGACCUGCGAGUUUCGAGUGAGAAGCCGCUCACCUUUCGCCGCAUCGGAAGGUUAUAUUCACUAUGGCUCUUUGACCUGGCUGAUAUUGCCAUUACAUUUUAGAGCUGCGGAUAGACCGAUCCAGGACAACGAAUCAAAAAUCAAAUAAACGAAAAAUGGUCACCGAGUCGCAUUAUGCCGCUUCAGCUGUAUAGAAAAACAUUUCUUUGCAUGACAUUAUUUUAUUAAUAGAAACAUAUAUUAUCAAAUAAUAAAUAUAUAAGAACAAUUAAGUA